rnacentral:lncRNA from 1 species
UUCCAUACUCCAAGUAAGAAGAAAUCUUCUUCUCUCUCUCUCCUAUUUCUACAAACUGUAAAUUAAGAUCAGGUAAAACACUGUUGCAUCAAUCCCAUUUUCGAAAAGUGAAUGAUCCCACAAUUUAAUAUAUUGACUUAUACAGUAACACAUUAUUUGUGCAUGUAUUCAUCAUAUUCGUGCCCAGAGCUUCCGAAAAUGGUAUGAAUGAAAUGGAGACUGAAAAGGGUUGAUACUAAAGAAAUUCAAGGUUAUAAUAUUGUGUGUGUGAAUAUGUGUGUAUAUAUAGAGAGAAACAAGAAGUACUAGAAAUGAUCUUGUUAAUGAGGUGGAAAGUGAAAAAAGCCGAGGGAAGCGCCGGGUCGUAUUAUCGAGGACAGGAG